GGCGGCGUGCCUAAUACACGCAAGUUGAACGCAACAAAGACACCAGAGCUUGCUCUACCGUCUUUGUUGAGUAGCGAACGGGUGAGUAACGCGUGGGUAACCUGCCUUAUAGCGGGGGAUAACUAUUGGAAACGAUAGCUAAUACCGCAUAACAAUAGAGAUUGCAUAAUCUUUAUUUGAAAGUGCCAACUGGUACACUAUGAGAUGGACCCGCGUUGUAUUAGCUAGUUGGUAGUGUAAUGGACUACCAAGGCGAUGAUACAUAGCCGACCUGAGAGGGUGAUCGGCCACAUUGGGACUGAGACACGGCCCAAACUCCUACGGGAGGCAGCAGUAGGGAAUCUUCGGCAAUGGACGAAAGUCUGACCGAGCAACGCCGCGUGAGUGAAGAAGGUUUUCGGAUCGUAAAACUCUGUUGUUAGAGAAGAAUGUUGAUUAGAGUGGAAAAUUAAUCAAGUGACGGUAUCUAACCAGAAAGGGACGGCUAACUACGUGCCAGCAGCCGCGGUAAUACGUAGGUCCCGAGCGUUGUCCGGAUUUAUUGGGCGUAAAGCGAGCGCAGGUGGUUUAAUAAGUCUGAUGUAAAAGGCAGUGGCUCAACCAUUGUGUGCAUUGGAAACUGUUAGACUUGAGUGCAGUAGAGGAGAGUGGAAUUCCAUGUGUAGCGGUGAAAUGCGUAGAUAUAUGGAGGAACACCGGUGGCGAAAGCGGCUCUCUGGACUGUCACUGACACUGAGGCUCGAAAGCGUGGGUAGCAAACAGGAUUAGAUACCCUGGUAGUCCACGCCGUAAACGAUGAGUGCUAGUUGUUUGGGGCUAUCCAGCCCUAAGUGACGCAGC
rnacentral:rRNA from 1 species